GAUGAACGCUGGCGGCGUGCUUAACACAUGCAAGUCGAACGAAGCACUUUUACAGAUUUCUUCGGAUUGAAAUUUUAGUGACUGAGUGGCGGACGGGUGAGUAACGCGUGGGUAACCUGCCUCACACAGGGGGAUAACAGUUGGAAACGGCUGCUAAUACCGCAUAAGCGCACAGUACCGCAUGGUACGGUGUGGAAAACUCCGGUGGUGUGAGAUGGACCCGCGUCUGAUUAGCUAGUUGGCAGGGCAACGGCCUACCAAGGCGACGAUCAGUAGCCGACCUGAGAGGGUGACCGGCCACAUUGGGACUGAGACACGGCCCAAACUCCUACGGGAGGCAGCAGUGGGAAUAUUGCACAAUGGGGGAAACCCUGAUGCAGCGACGCCGCGUGAGCGAAGAAGUAUCUCGGUAUGUAAAGCUCUAUCAGCAGGGAAGAAAAUGACGGUACCUGACUAAGAAGCACCGGCUAAAUACGUGCCAGCCGCCGCGGUAA
rnacentral:rRNA from 1 species